CACUCCUACGGGAGGCAGCAGUGGGGAAUAUUGGACAAUGGGCGCAAGCCUGAUCCAGCCAUGCCGCGUGAGUGAUGAAGGCCCUAGGGUUGUAAAGCUCUUUCACCGGUGAAGAUAAUGACGGUAACCGGAGAAGAAGCCCCGGCUAACUUCGUGCCAGCAGCCGCGGUAAUACGAAGGGGGCUAGCGUUGUUCGGAUUUACUGGGCGUAAAGCGCACGUAGGCGGACUAUUAAGUCAGGGGUGAAAUCCCGGGGCUCAACCCCGGAACUGCCUUUGAUACUGGUAGUCUUGAGUUCGAGAGAGGUGAGUGGAAUUCCGAGUGUAGAGGUGAAAUUCGUAGAUAUUCGGAGGAACACCAGUGGCGAAGGCGGCUCACUGGCUCGAUACUGACGCUGAGGUGCGAAAGCGUGGGGAGCAAACAGGAUUAGAUACCCCAGUAGUCC
rnacentral:rRNA from 1 species